AGCUAUGGCCAUGCCACCCUGAACACACCCGAUCCCCUCUGAUCUCAGAAGCUAAGCAGGGUCAGGCCUGGUUAGUACUUGGAUGGGAGACCACCUAGGAAGACCAGGUGCUGUAGGCA
rnacentral:rRNA from 1 species